rnacentral:rRNA from 1 species
GGAUUGAAGGCUGAAAUUCGCCUUCAUGAAGCUGGAAUUGCUAGUAAUGGCAGGUCAGCAUACUGCCGUGAAUACGUUCCCGGGCCUUGUACACACCGCCCGUCACACCAUGAGAGUUGGGAAUACCCGAAGCCUGUGAGCUAACUGUAAGGAGGCAGCAGUCGAAGGUAGAAUCAAUGAUUGGGGUGAAGUCGUAACAAGGUAGC